AAAUAAAUGUAUGCACGAUAGCGCACGCGCGCAGCCGGUGUGGGUUCCGUGUUAAGGGCAGAAGGACACAAUGCAACUAACGUUAUACAGACAGAGUGGGAGGAGAGGGAGGCAUUCCAUCACCAUCAUAACUGUAGUUUUUGUAUCUAAAAAAAACAAGUUCUACUCGUAAUCCUAUCUAAUUCGUUAGCGAGUUUGCUCAAUUUACAUAUAGCAUGUUAUUUAGCUCACUGUUGGACGGUAGCUACUUUGGGCGAGGGAUGCAGACCGAUUCUCCUCGGACGCGGUGGUAGAAGCGUUGCUGAGAGCCAAUUGGCUAUCGAACGGCCAAUGGCGUGAGACGUGGGUCUUGAUAGAUUGGGAGGUCACCGAAAUAAUAUUUCUGUUUGUGCGGUUACAAACGGAUUACGCUUCGAACAUACCGACUGGGUCAUUGCCACAGUGCUGCAUAACAUUUUGCGCAGCUAGGCAACUAUACCGAGGCAGGUAUAUUUUGCCAGACGGUCGAAUGCGGUUGGACACAUGGAGAGAAUCAUUUUUGCAGUAUCCUCAAAACCGGCUUUUUGACACAACUGCUGAAAGCUACAGGGACAUAAACACAAAAAAUGCUGCGUGUCCACGAUAGUAGGAUUGCCAGGAUGUGGCCGUGGAGACAAAUGAGGAGAGAAACAUGGAGAAAUGAAGAGGAACGUCCCCAGAUCCACUCAACUCAUUUCAGCAGAGGCUCCUCAAAGCCAUCGAGAGGAUGCAGCCCAACCUGAUCCUCACAUUAAGGAGGAUGAAGAGACCCUCUUUGCCAUGAGCCUGUUGCCAACCCUGAAGUGGCUGCCUCAGCAAAGAAAAGCACCAAUCAAGGUUAAAAUUCGUUAGCUGCGUUUUGAUGCAGAGUUCAAUGAGAGAGUUAAUUUAGCCGACCAGCACAUUCACUUUUCAUUUUUUCAGACACACACCACUCCUCUCUGUCCCUCAGAUCUCCAGUGCCCUGCCCUUUCUCUCUUUAUGGCCAUGUCUGAAGUUCCUUACUACGUCUAGGCUUUGAGUAGUCCCUGUAUCUGUCUGCAGCUGUGCCAAAAAUACCUGCUCUUUUUGUUCUCUUACAGGCUACACAUUAAUUGUUGUAUUUUUACAUGCGCACACACACACACACACACACACACAACUCUUUCAAUAGUUUUUAUUUUUUGUAACAGUUUUACAACACAUACCUGUCAUGUUCUUUCCUGGACUUCAAUACUUAUUAAAUUCUAAUGUUUUCAUA